CCCUAUAAAAGGUGGAGAUUUUGUAUCUCUUGUCACAGACUGUUUCAGUUAUCCGAAAUUUAGAUAUCUGACGUAUAUUACAAGAUGAAAUCUACAGCUGGUAUUUUACUGGUUUUGUGUGCCGUGAUGAUCUACGUUGAGGCCGGGGAUCCUUGUGCAACUCACAAAUGUCCAUGUGGACAUACAUGUCGUCUACAAAAAGUCGACUGCUUUACAACACCUUGUCCUCCAGUACCAACUUGUAUCAUCGAAGCAUGUGUUCAGACUACAAAAGCCUGUAAAGUAAAUUAUCCUAUACUUGAUGCGAAUAACAAAGAGCUAUUUUGUGGACGUGGACCAAACAGAGUUACCUGCCCUGAUCAUACAUCUUGUACAAUCCAUCAAACAGACCUUUACGCUGUUUGUUGUUAUACAGGACCAAAAAUUCAAAUAUAUGUAGAAGAUGUUAAAGCCUGAUUAGAACCGAAAGACAAAAAAUCUGAAUACACUGUAUUACACGUAUCACAUCUAUUAUCUGAAUAAAACUUAUACUAUAAUAAAAAUCUGAAUAACACUUAUACUAUAAUAAAAAUCUGAAUAACACUUAUAUACUAUAAUAAAAAUCUGAAUACAUGAA